CCCGGCCAAGGGGCGGGCGUCACAUGGUGGGCGCUGUGGCUGCGGCUGCGGCUGCAGCGGCCCCAGGUGCAAACAGACUGCCGCCGAAUGUGAGCAGCGAGGCGAGGGGUCGAGGUAGCGAGGAGUCAGGGUGGCCCGCAGCAGGAAGACAGAAGGCGUGGAGACAGACUGGCGUUUUGCCUCAGAGGAAGAAGUGGGGUCCCCUCUCCCAUUCUGUGAGCAAGUGCCAGUUCCAGUGAUUCGUACUUUCAUGUCCGAGUUGGAAACCUUGGCCCGACGGUGAUGGACUGCACGACUUGCUGGACUCCCAAGUCCGAAGUUCCUGCGGCAGCGCUUGCUUUGUGGCGCCACCUGGUGGGCAGUGUGCGAGGUUGCGGGGGGCGGGGUAGACGGUCUAAUCACGCCCAGGCGCCAGCCUCUGAAACCCCCCAAAAGAACAAAAUAGUAAUUAAAAGCCACAAAAUUGUGCUAGUGCGCACCAUCUGAAGCACCCUUUCCUAAAGACAUAACAUGUCGCUGAAAGAACUUGUUAAAACAACUGUCUGAUAGAAAACAAG
rnacentral:lncRNA from 1 species